rnacentral:rRNA from 1 species
ACAUACGACCAUAGGGUGUGGAAAACAGGGCUUCCCGUCCGCUCAGCCGUACUUAAGCCACACGCCGGUGAGUUAGUAGUUGGGUGGGUGACCACCAGCGAAUCCUCACUGUUGUAUGGU